rnacentral:rRNA from 1 species
UACGUAGGGCGCAAGCGUUGUCCGGAAUUAUUGGGCGUAAAGCGCACGCAGGUGGCUGAGUCAGUCGAUUGUGAAAGCCCUGGGCUUAACCUGGGAAUUGCAGUCGAUACUACUCAGCUAGAGUAUGGGAGAGGGUAGUGGAAUUCCCGGUGUAGCGGUGAAAUGCGUAGAUAUCGGGAGGAACAUCAGUGGCGAAGGCGGCUACCUGGCCCAAUACUGACACUCAGGUGCGACAGCGUGGGGAGCAAACAGG